rnacentral:rRNA from 1 species
GCGACGACGGGUAGCCGGCCUGAGAGGGCGACCGGCCACACUGGGACUGAGACACGGCCCAGACUCCUACGGGAGGCAGCAGUGGGGAAUAUUGCACAAUGGGCGGAAGCCUGAUGCAGCGACGCCGCGUGAGGGAUGACGGCCUUCGGGUUGUAAACCUCUUUCAGCAGGGACGAAGCGCAAGUGACGGUACCUGCAGAAGAAGCGCCGGCCAACUACGUGCCAGCAGCCGCGGUAAGACGUAGGGCGCGAGCGUUGUCCGGAUUUAUUGGGCGUAAAGAGCUCGUAGGCGGCUUGUCGCGUCGAAUGUGAAAACCCGAGGCUCAACCUCGGGCUUGCAUUCGAUACGGGCAGGCUAGAGUUCGGUAGGGGAGACUGGAAUUCCUGGUGUAGCGGUGAAAUGCGCAGAUAUCAGGAGGAACACCGGUGGCGAAGGCGGGUCUCUGGGCCGAUACUGACGCUGAGGAGCGAAAGCGUGGGGAGCGAACAGGAUUAGAUACCCUGGUAGUCCACGCUGUAAACGUUGGGCGCUAGGUGUGGGGACCCUCUCCGGGUUUCUGCGCCGCAGCUAACGCAUUAAGCGCCCCGCCUGGGG